rnacentral:rRNA from 1 species
UACGGAAGGCAGCAGUGGGGAAUAUUGCACAAUGGGCGCAAGCCUGAUGCAGCCAUGCCGCGUGUAUGAAGAAGGCCUUCGGGUUGUAAAGUACUUUCAGUCGUGAGGAAGGUGUUAAGGUUAAUAACCUUAGCAAUUGACGUUAGCGACAGAAGAAGCACCGGCUAACUCCGUGCCAGCAGCCGCGGUAAUACGGAGGGUGCGAGCGUUAAUCGGAAUUACUGGGCGUAAAGGGCACGCAGGCGGUUAAUUAAGUUGGAUGUGAAAUCCCCGGGCUUAACCUGGGAAUGGCAUUCAAGACUGGUUAGCUAGAGUCUUGUAGAGGGGGUAGAAUUCCGAUGUGUAGCGGUGAAAUGCGUAGAGAUGUGGAGGAAUACCGGUGGCGAAGGCGGCCCCUGGACAAAGACUGACGCUCAUGUGCGAAAGCGUGGGGAGCAAAC